rfam:Hordeum vulgare subsp. vulgare, WGS project CAJW01000000 data, contig: morex_contig_67127
UUUCUACUCCCUCCGUCUCAAUUUUUUUUGUCUUACAUUAGUUUAGAUAUGAAUGUAUCUAGUCAUAUUUUAGUAUUUAGAUACAUUCAUUUCUAAACAAACCUAAGACAUUAAUUUUGGGACGGAGGGAGUAUUAC